UACAGAGGUCUCAAGCGUUGUUCGGAUUCAUUGGGCGUAAAGGGUGCGUAGGCGGCGCGGUAAGUCGGGUGUGAAAUCUCGGAGCUUAACUCCGAAACUGCAUUCGAUACUGCCGUGCUUGAGGACUGGAGAGGAGACUGGAAUUUACGGUGUAGCGGUGAAAUGCGUAGAUAUCAGGAGGAACAUCGGUGGCGAAGGCGGCUCACUGGACCAGUACUGACACUGAGGAGCGAAAGCAUGGGGAUCAAACAGG
rnacentral:rRNA from 1 species